rnacentral:rRNA from 1 species
UUUAACUGAGCGUUCAGUUACUUGACGUAGACCCGAAACCGGGCGACCUACCCAUGAGCAGGAUGAAGCGAAAGUAAAAUUUCGUGGAGGUCCGAACCCACGAGCGUUGAAAAGCUCGGGGAUGACUUGUGGGUAGCGGUGAAAUUCCAAUCGAGCCCGGAGAUAGCUGGUUCUCCCCGAAAUAGCUUUAGGGCUAGCCUCAAGGUGAGAGAUACGGAGGUAGAGCACUGAAUGUCCUAGGGGGUAUUGCACCUACCGAAGACUAUCAAACUCCGAAUGCCGUCAUCUUAUACUUGGGAGUCAGACUGUGGGUGAUAAGAUUCAUAGUCGAAAGGGCAACAGCCCAGAUCGUCAGCUAAGGUCCCUAAAUGUAAGUUAAGUGGUAAAGGAUGUGGGAUUGCACAGACAACCAGGAUGUUGGCUUAGAAGCAGCCACUCAUUCAAAGAGUGCGUAAUAGCUCACUGGUCGAGUGAUCCUGCGCCGAAGAUUUCCGGGGCUAAAACUUACUACCGAAGCUACGGCAUCAGUAAUGAUGGGUAGGGGAGCUUCCCAU